GACAGAGGGUGCAAACGUUGUUCGGAAUUACUGGGCGUAAAGCGUGUGUAGGCGGCCAUGUAAGUCAGGUGUGAAAUGCCGGGGCUCAACCCCGCGCGUGCCUCGGAUACUGGGAGGCUGGAGACAGGUAGAGGCGAGCGGAAUUCCGGGUGUAGCGGUGGAAUGCGUAGAGAUCCGGAAGAACACCGGAGGCGAAGGCGGCUCGCUGGGCCUGAUCUGACGCUGAGGCGCGAAGGCGUGGGGAGCGAACAGG
rnacentral:rRNA from 1 species